UAGGGAAUAUUGGUUAAUGUGCGAAAGCGCGAACCAGCAACGCCGCGUGUGCGAUGAAGGCCUUCGGGUCGUAAAGCACUUUUUGCAGGGAAGAGGAAGGACGGUACCUGCAGAAUAAGUCUCGGCUAACUACGUGCCAGCAGCCGCGGUAAAACGUAGGAGACGAGCGUUAUCCGGAUUUACUGGGCGUAAAGCGCGUGCAGGCGGCAUGGCAAGUUGGAUGUGAAAGCUCCCGGCUUAACUGGGAGAGGUCGUUCAAUACUGCCAGGCUUGAGAGUAGUAGAGGAAAGCGGAAUUCCGGGUGUAGUGGUGAAAUGCGUAGAUAUCCGGAGGAACGCCAGUGGCGAAAGCGGCUUCCUGGCCCAUUUCUGGCGCUCAGACGCGAAAGCUAGGGUAGCAAACGG
rnacentral:rRNA from 1 species